UUCCCGGUUCCGGCCGCCUCCUUGCGGUUGUUUAAUGUUUAAUCGCCGCCCAUACCGUCAUUUGUCUUUCUUCGUCAGUUUUGCUGCGUUGCGGAAGCUCGUGAUGCUAAUUCCAAGGAUGCAUUCUAACUGAAGAGAUGUCCUCGAAGCUGUUCUGGGGAUUAAUCUCUGUGACCUGUGGCAAGCCAUAACUCCAUCAUCAGCAGAAUUGUGCGGAUGAUAUGCUGUGCCAUUAACACUGUGUCAAGGCCCCAUUUGCAGUGUUGGAGUAGGUGCUCCUGUCAACUGACCGUGAGGUGCCAGCACUGACAACAACGGCAGACACAGCGUGCCUUCCAAUGCCUUCUUAGUGUUGAAAGCUGCAUGAACCUGUGAAGUGCCAGCAUCGACAACACUAAAGUAGCAGCGUGCCUUUGAACUCUUUGCCACAAUUUUAAAAGUGGUGCCCCUGUGAGGUGUCAGUGUUGGUGACAAGAGCAACAGCAGUGUGCCUUUCAAUGCGUGUUGCAAGUUAGCUCACCUGCAGCCAGCUAGACCACCUGACUUGCCAAAACUUGCGGACGGUGAUGCCUUUUUUCUCAAAGCUGUUUUCAACAUCCAUGUCAGCCACCAUCACAUGCUAGCUGUUUGGAGGGAGUCACGGAUCAUCCUCCUCAACAAGAACGACCAACCAGCAAGAUCUGUGAUCUAGUGCUCUGUGGCUUUUAGCUGCAUAAUUGCAAACCUGUACGUAGAGUAAUUCCCAUCUUUGCUUCAGUAGUGGGUGUGUAAGCACUCUAUACUAUCACAGUGUAAGAAGGGCUUCCUGCAUUAUAGUGGUGCAUUAAAACACAACUUCGUGUUGCACGAGA